ACAGCCCCGUACACAAAAAUGCACAUGCUGUGAGCUCGAUGAGUAGGGCGGGACACGUGGUAUCCUGUCUGAAUAUGGGGGGACCAUCCUCCAAGGCUAAAUACUCCUGACUGACCGAUAGUGAACCAGUACCGUGAGGGAAAGGCGAAAAGAACCCCGGCGAGGGGAGUGAAAAAGAACCUGAAACCGUGUACGUACAAGCAGUGGGAGCACGCUUAGGCGUGUGACUGCGUACCUUUUGUAUAAUGGGUCAGCGACUUAUAUUCUGUAGCAAGGUUAACCGAAUAGGGGAGCCGAAGGGAAACCGAGUCUUAACUGGGCGUUAAGUUGCAGGGUAUAGACCCGAAACCCGGUGAUCUAGCCAUGGGCAGGUUGAAGGUUGGGUAACACUAACUGGAGGACCGAACCGACUAAUGUUGAAAAAUUAGCGGAUGACUUGUGGCUGGGGGUGAAAGGCCAAUCAAACCGGGAGAUAGCUGGUUCUCCCCGAAAGCUAUUUAGGUAGCGCCUCGUGAAUUCAUCUCCGGGGGUAGAGCACUGUUUCGGCAAGGGGGUCAUCCCGACUUACCAACCCGAUGCAAACUGCGAAUACCGGAGAAUGUUAUCACGGGAGACACACGGCGGGUGCUAACGUCCGUCGUGAAGAGGGAAACAACCCAGACCGCCAGCUAAGGUCCCAAAGUCAUGGUUAAGUGGGAAACGAUGUGGGAAGGCCCAGACAGCCAGGAUGUUGGCUUAGAAGCAGCCAUCAUUUAAAGAAAGCGUAAUAGCUCACUGGUCGAGUCGGCCUGCGCGGAAGAUGUAACGGGGCUAAACCAUGCACCGAAGCUGCGGCAGCGACGCUGAUGCGUUGUUGGGUAGGGGAGCGUUCUGUAAGCCUGUGAAGGUGUGCUGUGAGGCAUGCUGGAGGUAUCAGAAGUGCGAAUGCUGACAUAAGUAACGAUAAAGCGGGUGAAAAGCCCGCUCGCCGGAAGACCAAGGGUUCCUGUCCAACGUUAAUCGGGGCAGGGUGAGUCGACCCCUAAGGCGAGGCCGAAAGGCGUAGUCGAUGGGAAACAGGUUAAUAUUCCUGUACUUGGUGUUACUGCGAAGGGGGGACGGAGAAGGCUAUGUUGGCCGGGCGACGGUUGUCCCGGUUUAAGCGUGUAGGCUGGUUUUCCAGGCAAAUCCGGAAAAUCAAGGCUGAGGCGUGAUGACGAGGCACUACGGUGCUGAAGCAACAAAUGCCCUGCUUCCAGGAAAAGCCUCUAAGCAUCAGGUAACAUCAAAUCGUACCCCAAACCGACACAGGUGGUCAGGUAGAGAAUACCAAGGCGCUUGAGAGAACUCGGGUGAAGGAACUAGGCAAAAUGGUGCCGUAACUUCGGGAGAAGGCACGCUGAUAUGUAGGUGAAGCGACUUGCUCGUGGAGCUGAAAUCAGUCGAAGAUACCAGCUGGCUGCAACUGUUUAUUAAAAACACAGCACUGUGCAAACACGAAAGUGGACGUAUACGGUGUGACGCCUGCCCGGUGCCGGAAGGUUAAUUGAUGGGGUCAGCGCAAGCGAAGCUCUUGAUCGAAGCCCCGGUAAACGGCGGCCGUAACUAUAACGGUCCUAAGGUAGCGAAAUUCCUUGUCGGGUAAGUUCCGACCUGCACGAAUGGCGUAAUGAUGGCCAGGCUGUCUCCACCCGAGACUCAGUGAAAUUGAACUCGCUGUGAAGAUGCAGUGUACCCGCGGCAAGACGGAAAGACCCCGUGAACCUUUACUAUAGCUUGACACUGAACAUUGAGCCUUGAUGUGUAGGAUAGGUGGGAGGCUUUGAAGUGUGGACGCCAGUCUGCAUGGAGCCGGCCUUGAAAUACCACCCUUUAAUGUUUGAUGUUCUAACGUUGACCCGUGAUCCGGGUUGCGGACAGUGUCUGGUGGGUAGUUUGACUGGGGCGGUCUCCUCCUAAAGAGUAACGGAGGAGCACGAAGGUUGGCUAAUCCUGGUCGGACAUCAGGAGGUUAGUGCAAUGGCAUAAGCCAGCUUGACUGCGAGCGUGACGGCGCGAGCAGGUGCGAAAGCAGGUCAUAGUGAUCCGGUGGUUCUGAAUGGAAGGGCCAUCGCUCAACGGAUAAAAGGUACUCCGGGGAUAACAGGCUGAUACCGCCCAAGAGUUCAUAUCGACGGCGGUGUUUGGCACCUCGAUGUCGGCUCAUCACAUCCUGGGGCUGAAGUAGGUCCCAAGGGUAUGGCUGUUCG
rnacentral:rRNA from 1 species